GGCCCCCUACGGGGGGCAGCAGUGGGGGAUAUUGCACAAUGGGGGGAACCCUGAUGCAGCGACGCCGCGUGGGUGAAGAAGUAUUUCGGUAUGUAAAGCCCUAUCGGCAGGGAAGAAAUUGGACGGUACCUGACUAAGAAGCCCUGGCUAACUACGUGCCAGCAGCCGCGGUAAUACGUAGGGGGCAAGCGUUUUCCGGAUUCCCUGGGUGUAAAGGGAGCGUAGACGGCCAUG
rnacentral:rRNA from 1 species